rfam:Aedes aegypti strain Liverpool supercont1.100 genomic scaffold, whole genome shotgun sequence.
AAAACGGCCCUUUUCAGGGCCAAUAUUACGAUUAAAGAAUUGU